rnacentral:rRNA from 1 species
CGAGGGCGCACGACCGGGAUUUGCCUCCCGACGAGCUAGAGAGAGAGCUGAGCGAAAUGAUACCGUUUGGAAGCCAGAACCCCAGGGCCUUUGAUGAGGCAGAGCCGUACUUGAUUGUGGAUGAAAC